rnacentral:rRNA from 1 species
AUGCAAGUCGAGCGGACAGAUGGGAGCUUGCUCCCUGAUGUUAGCGGCGGACGGGUGAGUAACACGUGGGUAACCUGCCUGUAAGACUGGGAUAACUCCGGGAAACCGGGGCUAAUACCGGAUGGUUGUUUGAACCGCAUGGUUCAGACAUAAAAGGUGGCUUCGGCUACCACUUACAGAUGGACCCGCGGCGCAUUAGCUAGUUGGUGAGGUAACGGCUCACCAAGGCAACGAUGCGUAGCCGACCUGAGAGGGUGAUCGGCCACACUGGGACUGAGACACGGCCCAGACUCCUACGGGAGGCAGCAGUAGGGAAUCUUCCGCAAUGGACGAAAGUCUGACGGAGCAACGCCGCGUGAGUGAUGAAGGUUUUCGGAUCGUAAAGCUCUGUUGUUAGGGAAGAACAAGUGCCGUUCAAAUAGGGCGGCACCUUGACGGUACCUAACCAGAAAGCCACGGCUAACUACGUGCCAGCAGCCGCGGUAAUACGUAGGUGGCAAGCGUUGUCCGGAAUUAUUGGGCGUAAAGGGCUCGCAGGCGGUUUCUUAAGUCUGAUGUGAAAGCCCCCGGCUCAACCGGGGAGGGUCAUUGGAAACUGGGGAACUUGAGUGCAGAAGAGGAGAGUGGAAUUCCACGUGUAGCGGUGAAAUGCGUAGAGAUGUGGAGGAACACCAGUGGCGAAGGCGACUCUCUGGUCUGUAACUGACGCUGAGGAGCGAAAGCGUGGGGAGCGAACAGGAUUAUAUACCC